rnacentral:rRNA from 1 species
AUUGAACGCUGGCGGCAGGCCUAACACAUGCAAGUCGGGCGAGAGGCGGACGGGUGAGUAAUGUAUGGGGAUCUGCCUGAUGGAGGGGGAUAACUACUGGAAACGGUAGCUAAUAACGCAUACCAUCAGAUGAACCCAUAUGGGAUUAGCUUGUAGGCGAGGUAACGGCUCACCUAGGAGACGAUCCCUAGCUGGUCUGAGAGGAUGAUCAGCCACACUGGGACGGAGACACGGCCCCGACUCCUACGUGAGGCCGCAGUUGGGAAUAUUGCACAAUGGGCGCAAGCCUGAUGCAGCCAUGCCGCGUGUAUUAAGAAGGCCUUCUGGUUGUAAAGUACUUUCAGUCGGGAGGCUUUACCCACAGAAUAAGCACCUGCUAACUCCGUGCCAGCAGCCGCGGUAAUUC